AGGAUGAUUUGAACUCAGGUCUCUGACUAUAAGCCCCACUGUUUUUCCAGUAGGGACCCAAUCAGGGAUGAGAUAUCAGGACAGCUGGGUUGUAGGGUCAGGGAGAAUCAUAUGAUUGCACUUUUCCUCAAUUGAACCACACCCCAAAUCCUGCAUUUACCUUUCCAUCUCAGGGCAGACAUGCCCACAUACUUCAUCCCCUGGGACAUUUGGCAAAGAUGAAUCCAGCUUCUCUGACUGGCUAUUGUCUGAUGCUGAGCGUGAAAAGCUGGAGCGGGGUUCCUGGGUCUGGAGGACUCAUCUGCAUACAGGUCAGAGCUGUGAGCUGGUGCCUGAUUGACCCAUUUUUCAGGUAUAUCCUGACCUCCAAGAGAUGUUGUGAGCUAGGACUUCUUUGAGGACCAAUCAAAAGCUCUUUGAAGACUGGCCUAAAAAAAUCUGGAUCUACCGGUUCACCAUCCCACUCCAGAGACCUUCCUCAACACCCUCCCCACAUCCUCUCAAGCUCACUUUCCUUCACAGCAAUUUCUGAUAACCUGGGCUUCCCUGGUGGCGCAGUGGUUAAGAAUCCGCCUGCCAAUGCAGGAGACGUGGGUUCAAGCCCUGGUCUGGGAAGAUCCCACAUGCGGCGGAACAACUAAUCCCAUGCGCCACAGCUACCGCGCCACCAUUACUGAGCCUGUGCUCUAGAGCCCACGAGCCACAACUGCUGAAGCCCACGCGCCUAGAGUCCAUGCUCUGCAAAAAGAGAAGCCACUGAAAUGAGAAGCCUGCGCACCGCAACGAAGAGUAACGUCUCUCGCAGCAACUAGAGAAAAGCCCGUGCACAGCAACAAAGACCCAACACAGCCAAAAAUAAAUAAAUAAAUAAAUUUAUUCAAACAAACAAAAUUUCAGAUAAUCCUCCUUCCUCCACUUCACAAUAACUCAUGAGCUGUGACUUUGCCAACACCCAUUUCCACAAGCAAACUGCAGGUUUUUUCCAAAUCAGAGUGCUAUAUUUACUAUAGUAUUUAUGUUUUGCUUAACCAUUUAAUAUUUGUAAAGCUAUGUUACCAUUUUUAUCAGGUUCCUGUCUGUUUUAAAUGUGUCACUGGUGAAGUUUUCACUGUUGUGAAAUCCUAGGUUUUCUUAUAAGCGCUGAGGGAUUUUGCAAAGCUCGGUGAUAUUUAGGAGCAUAUAUGUCACUGUUGGGGCCCAGGUUAGGCCAUCCCAAAAU